UUUCCGGUUGAUCCUGCCGGACCUGACUGCUAUCGGAUUGAUACUAAGCCAUGCGAGUCUUUGCAGUAAUGCAAGGCAUACGGCUCAGUAACACGUAGUCAACUUACCCUAUGGACGAGGAUAAUCUCGGGAAACUGAGCAUAAUACUCGAUAGAUCAUAAUGCCUGGAAUGGUUUAUGGUUGAAAUGAUUCGUCGCCAUAGGAUGGGACUGCGGCCUAUCAGCUUGUUGGUGAGGUAAUGGCCCACCAAGGCGAUUACAGGUACGGGCUCUGAGAGGAGAAGCCCGGAGAUGGGUACUGGGACAAGGACCCAGGCCCUAUGGGGCGCAGCAGGCGAGAAAACUUUGCAAUGUGCGAAAGCACGACAAGGUUAAUCCGAGUGAUUUCUGCUAAAGAAAUCUUUUGCAAGUCAUAAAACCACUAGUGAAUAAGGGGUGGGCAAGUUCUGGUGUCAGCCGCCGCGGUAAAACCAGCACCUCAAGUGGUCAGGAGGAUUAUUGGGCCUAAGGCAUCCGUAGCCGGCUCUGUAAGUUUUCGGUUAAAUCCAUGUGCUCAACGCAUGGGCUGCCGAAAAUACUGCAUAGCUAGGGAGUGGGAGAGGUAGACGGUACUCGGUAGGAAGGGGUAAAAUCCUUUGAUCUAUCGAUGACCACCUGUGGCGAAGGCGGUCUACCAGAACACGUUCGACGGUGAGGGAUGAAAGCUGGGGGAGCAAACCGGAUUAGAUACCCGGGUAGUCCCAGCUGUAAACGAUGCAGACUCGAUGAUGCAUUGGCAUAUAGCCAGUGCAGUGUCGCAGGGAAGCCGUUAAGUCUGCCGCCUGGGAAGUACGUACGCAAGUAUGAAACUUAAAGGAAUUGGCGGGGGAGCC
rnacentral:rRNA from 1 species